AUGAGCUUCAUCAAUGAUUUAGGUUACCAUGGAGGAGGUCUUUCCCGAUCGUCUAUUGCUGACGGGUUCAAGUUCAAGGUUCUCGAGAGACCGUCAGACCCCUUCCUUGGAAGAGGAAUUCACAUAUUCUUCCAUCCAAUCAAUGCAUACCUUGGAGGAGGAACUGCAAACUUUGGCUCGGUAUAUCUGGUAUGGUUAAACUACUUUUACCCUUGGCAGAGUUGGUCGUUGUGA